rnacentral:rRNA from 1 species
AACCCCCCGCUCGUGAGCGGGGCUGAAGGUACCUGAAGAAUAAGCAUCGGCUAACUCCGUGCCAGCAGCUGCGGUAAUACGGAGGAUGCAAGCGUUAUCCGGAUUCAUUGGGUUUAAAGGGUGCGCAGGCGGAUUGGUAAGUCAGGGGUGAAAUCCCACAGCUCAACUGUGGAACUGCCUUUGAUACUGUCAGUCUAGAGUAUAGUUGAAGUUGGCGGAAUGUGUCAUGUAGCGGUGAAAUGCUUAGAUAUGACACAGAACACCGAUCGCGAAGGCAGCUAGCUAAGCUAUAACUGACGCUCAUGCACGAAAGCGUGGGGAUCAAACAGGAUUAGAUACCCUGGUAGUCCACGCUGUAAACGAUGAUUACUCGAUGUUGGCGAUACACAGUCAGCGUCUGAGCGAAAGCAAUAAGUAAUCCACCUGGGGAGUACGAUCGCAAGAUUGAAACUCAAAGGAAUUGACGGGGGCCCGCACAAGCGGAGGAGCAUGUGGUUUAAUUCGAUGAUACGCGAGGAACCUUACCUGGGCUCGAACGUAAGAUGACUGUAGGUGAAAGCUUACAUCUCUUCGGAGCAUUUUACGAGGUGCUGCAUGGUUGUCGUCAGCUCGUGCCGUGAGGUGUCGGGUUAAGUCCCAUAACGAGCGCAACCCCUACCUUUAGUUGCCAUCAGGUCAUGCUGGGGACUCUAAAGGAACUGCCUACGCAAGUAGUGAGGAAGGCGGGGAUGACGUCAAAUCAGCACGGCCCUUACGUCCAGGGCUACACACGUGCUACAAUGGCCGAUACAGAGGGCAGCUACCUGGUGACAGGAUGCAAAUCUCCAAAGUCGGUCUCAGUUCGGAUCGGAGUCUGCAACCCGACUCCGUGAAGUUGGAUUCGCUAGUAAUCGCGCAUCAGCCAUGGCGCGGUGAAUACGUUCCCGGGCCUUGUACACACCGCCCGUCAAGCCAUGGAAGC